GGUCCAGUGGCCAAAUGGCAAGGCGCUUGGCUACGAACCAAGAGGAUUGCAGGUUCGAUCCCUGCCUGGAUCG
rnacentral:tRNA from 1 species